rnacentral:rRNA from 1 species
CCUACGGGUGGCAGCAGUGGGGAAUAUUGCGCAAUGGGCGAAAGCCUGACGCAGCGACGCCGCGUGAGGGAUGAAGGUCUUCGGAGCGUAAACCUCUGUCAGCAGGGAAGAACGGUCACUGUGCUAAUCAGCAGUGAAUUGACGGUACCUGCAAAGGAAGCACCGGCUCACUCCGUGCCAGCAGCCGCGGUAAUACGGCGGGUGCGAGCGUUAAUCGGAAUUACUGGGCGUAAAGCGCUCGGAGGCGGUAGGUCAAGUCACGGGUGAAAUCCCCGCGCUCAACGUGGGAACUGCCUUUGAAACUGGCAAACUGGAGUGUGUGAGAGGUUAGUGGAAUUCCAGGUGU